GUGUGUGCUUAUGUUGAUG
rnacentral:piRNA from 1 species